GGUGGACUGGCUGAGUGGUUUAAGGCGGCAGUCUUGAAAACUGUUGUGGGUUUGUAGCCCACCUGGGGUUCGAAUCCCUAGUCCAUCGCCA
rnacentral:tRNA from 1 species